rnacentral:rRNA from 1 species
GAUGAACGCUAGCUACAGGCUUAACACAUGCAAGUCGAGGGGAAACGAUAGAGAAAGCUUGCUUUUCUAGGCGUCGACCGGCGCACGGGUGAGUAACGCGUAUCCAACCUGCCCAUCACUUGGGGAUAACCCUUGCGAAAGUAAGACUAAUACCCAAUGACGUCUCUAGAAGACAUCUGAAAGAGAUUAAAGAUUUAUCGGUGAUGGAUGGGGAUGCGUCUGAUUAGCUUGUUGGCGGGGUAACGGCCCACCAAGGCGACGAUCAGUAGGGGUUCUGAGAGGAAGGUCCCCACAUUGGAACUGAGACACGGUCCAAACUCCUACGGGAGCAGCAGUGGGGAAUAUUGCACAAUGGGGGAAACCCUGAUGCAGCGACGCCGCGUGAGUGAUGAAGUAUUUCGGAUGUAAAACUCUAUCAGCAGGGAAGAU